CUUGGUCAUUUAGAGGAAGUAAAAGUCAUAACAAGGUUUCCGUAGGUGAACUGCGGAAGGAUCAUUAAUAGUGCCCUCUGAUGCAAAUCAUUGGGUUAGAUCUGCUCUCUUCGCAAGAAGAGGGUUUCCAUACACACCGUGAACUGUGGCUUCGGCCAUCACAAACUGUUAGUAAUGAAUGUAAUAUCAUAACAAAAACAAAACUUUUAACAACGGAUCUCUUGGCUCUCGCAUCGAUGAAGAACGCAGCGAAAUGCGAUAAGUAAUGUGAAUUGCAGAAUUCAGUGAAUCAUCGAAUCUUUGAACGCACCUUGCGCCCUUUGGUAUUCCGAAGGGCAUGCCUGUUUGAGUGUCAUGAAACCUCACCCCACUUGGGUUUUUGCCUGAGCGGUGGUGUAUUGGGUGUUGCCUUGCUAAAGGCUCGCCUUAAAGACAUAAGCACCUUGGAUGUAAUACGUUUCAUCCUUCUGGGUGGCUGAUAACCCCACAUAUUCAUGAUCUGGCCUCAAAUCAGGUAGGGCUACCCGCUGAACUUAAGCAUAUCAAUAAGCGGAGGAAAAGAAACUAACUAGGAUUCCCUUAGUAACGGCGAGUGAACCGGGAUGAGCUCAAAUUUAAAAUCUGGCGUCUUUCAGGCGUCCGAGUUGUAAUCUAUAGAGGCGUUUUCCGCGCCGGACCGCGUCCAAGUCUCUUGGAAUAGAGUAUCAAAGAGGGUGACAAUCCCGUACUUGACGCGACAACCGGUGCUCUGUGAUACGUUCUCAAUGAGUCGAGUUGUUUGGGAAU
rnacentral:sRNA from 1 species